CUUGGUCAUUUAGAGGAAGUAAAAGUCGUAACAAGGUUUCCGUAGGUGAACCUGCGGAAGGAUCAUUAGUGAAUUGAAUAUGUUAGCGGACCUCUUCGGAGUCCCUAGCAUCAAAUCAUAUCCAUAACACCUGUGAACUGUAAGGCUGUCUUGAAAACGAAAGUGAUUAGAGCGCCUGCCCAUUUUAUACAAACAUUAAAGUAACAAACGUAGUCUUAUUAUAGUCUAAUAAAACUUUCAACAACGGAUCUCUUGGCUCUCGCAUCGAUGAAGAACGCAGCGAAAUGCGAUAAGUAAUGUGAAUUGCAGAAUUCAGUGAAUCAUCGAAUCUUUGAACGCACCUUGCGCUCUUUGGUAUUCCGAAGAGCAUGCCUGUUUGAGUGUCAUGAAAAUAUCAACCUUGACUUGGGUUUAGUGCUCUUGUCUUGGCUUGGAUUUGGCUGUUUGCCGCUCGAAAGAGUCGGCUCAGCUUAAAAGUAUUAGCUGGAUCUGUCUUUGAGACUUGGUUUGACUUGGCGUAAUAAGUUAUUUCGCUGAGGACAAUCUUCGGAUUGGCCGAGUUUCUGGGACGUUUGUCCGCUUUCUAAUACAAGUUCUAGCUUGCUAGACAUGACUUUUUUAUUAUCUGGCCUCAAAUCAGGUAGGACUACCCGCUGAACUUAAGCAUAUCAAUAAGCGGAGGAAAAGAAACUAACAAGGAUUCCCCUAGUAACGGCGAGUGAAGCGGGAAGAGCUCAAAUUUGAAAUCUGGUGGCCUCAGGCUAUCCGAGUUGUAAUCUAUAGAAACAUUUUCCGCGUUGGCCCAUGUACAAGUCUCUUGGAAUAGAGCGUCAUAGAGGGUGAGAAUCCCGUCCUUGACAUGGACUACCAGUGCUUUGUGAUAUGUUUUCAACGAGUCGAGUUGUUUGGGAAU
rnacentral:sRNA from 1 species